rnacentral:rRNA from 1 species
GAUGAACGCUGGCGGCGUGCCUAAUACAUGCCAGUCGAGCGAACGGACGAGAAGCUUGCUUCUCUGAUGUUAGCGGCGGACGGGUGAGUAACACGUGGAUAACCUACCUAUAAGACUGGGAUAACUUCGGGAAACCGUAGCUAAUACCGGAUAAUAUUUUGAACCGCAUGGUUCAAAAGUGAAAGACGGUCUUGCUGUCACUUAUAGAUGGAUCCGCGCUGCAUUAGCUAGUUGGUAAGGUAACGGCUUACCAAGGCAACGAUGCAUAGCCGACCUGAGAGGGUGAUCGGCCACACUGGAACUGAGACACGGUCCAGACUCCUACGGGAGGCAGCAGUAGGGAAUCUUCCGCAACGGGCGAAAGCCUGACAGAGCAACGCCGCGUGAGUGAUGAAGGUCUUCGGAUCGUAAAACUCUGUUAUUAGGGAAGAACAUAUGUGUAAGUAACUGUGCACAUCUUGACGGUACCUAAUCAGAAAGCCACGGCUAACUACGUG